rnacentral:rRNA from 1 species
CCUACGGGCUGCACCAGUGGGGAAUAUUGCACAAUGGGCGCAAGCCUGAUGCAGCCAUGCCGCGUGUGUGAAGAAGGCCUUCGGGUUGUAAAGCCCUCUCAGCGGGGAGGAAGGCGGUGAGGUUAAUAACCUCAUCGAUUGACGUUACCCGCAGAAGAAGCACCGGCUAACUCCGUGCCAGCAGCCGCGGUAAUACGGAGGGUGCAAGCGUUAAUCGGAAUUACUGGGCGUAAAGCGCACGCAGGCGGUCUGUCGAGUCGGAUGUGAAAUCCCCGGGCUCAACCUGAGAACUGCAUUCGAAACUGGCAGGCUAGAGUCUUGUAGAAGGGGGUAGAAUUCCAGGUGUAGCGGUGAAAUGCGUAGAGAUCUGGAGGAAUACCGGUGGCGAAGGCGGCCCCCUGGACAAAGACUGACGCUCAGGUGCGAAAGCGUGGGGAGUAAACAGGAUUAGAUACCCUCGUAGUC